AUUGAACGCUGGCGGAAUGCUUUACACAUGCAAGUCGAACGGUAGAGGGGGGCAACCCCUUGAGAGUGGCGAACGGGUGAGUAAUAUAUCGGAACGUGCCCAGUCGUGGGGAUAACGUAGCGAAAGUUACGCUAAUACCGCAUACGAUCUACGGAUGAAAGCGGGGGACUCGCAAGAGCCUCGCGCGAUUGGAGCGGCCGAUAUCAGAUUAGGUAGUUGGUGGGGUAAAGGCUCACCAAGCCGACGAUCUGUAGCUGGUCUGAGAGGACGACCAGCCACACUGGGACUGAGACACGGCCCAGACUCCUACGGGAGGCAGCAGUGGGGAAUUUUGGACAAUGGGCGCAAGCCUGAUCCAGCAAUGCCGCGUGCAGGAUGAAGGCC
rnacentral:rRNA from 1 species